rnacentral:rRNA from 1 species
AUUGAACGCUGGCGGCAGGCCUAACACAUGCAAGUCGAACGAGUGGCGGACGGGUGAGUAAUGUCUGGGCAACUGCCUGCUGGAGGGGGAUAACUACUGGAAACGGUAGCUAAUACCGCAUACCAUCGGAUGUGCCCAGAUGGGAUUAGCUAGUAGGUGGGGUAAAGGCUCACCUAGGCGACGAUCCCUAGCUGGUCUGAGAGGAUGACCAUGCACACUGGAAAGGGGACACGGUCCAGACUCCUACGGGAGGCAGCAGUGGGGAAUAUUGGACAAUGGGCGCAAGCCUGAUGCAGCCAUGCCGCGUGUAUGAGGAAGGCCUUCGGGUUGUAAAGUACGUUCAGCGGGGAGGCGUUACCCGAAGAAGAAGCACCGGCUAACUCCGUGCCAGCCGCCGCGGUAAUAC